CCCGACGCUGUGGGCACGUUCUGCGGAGACAUUUCUGGGACGUUUUCUGUUUUCUGCGACAUUUUCCUCUUUUUCCUUCGCGUUUGUCCCGGUUUUUUGUUUCUGUUUGUGUCUCCGGAGACGCGGCGGCUUCAGCAGGUCCUUCGACGAAGUCCGGACGAGAUCUGAGCUCUGGACCGGUCUGUCUGCUCACCAUGGGUUGAGGAGGUUGAGGAGGUCGAGGAGGUCGAGGAGGUCGAGGAGGUCGAGGAGGUCGAGGAGGUCGAGGAGGUUGUGGGUUUGAUUCCCUGGACAUGAGGCACCACUGGCUGCUGCUGGGAGCCUGUGGGUGGGUCCUGCUCAUCCUCAUGUUCGUCACCAAGUACAUCAACUUCAGAGCCACAGACGGGUACGGAGAGAGAGUGGUGUCUCAGAACUGGACCGAGUCUGGGACCAGGACCAUCAAAGUCCAGAGUCUAGAGACCAAGACCAAGAGCAGCUCCAGACCUGCAGCACAGUCGUCUAGCGCCCCCUCCAGCGCGGCGGCGUCAUCGUCGUGGCAGUCUGUGAUCGACCAGAGGAACCGCCUCCUCAGGGCCGUGUGCAAAGACCCCGCCCUCCGGAAUCUCACCCACAACCCGGUCUCCAAGUUCGUCCUGGACCGGAUCUUCGUGAGCGACGCCCACAAAAUCCUCUUCUGCCAAACGCCCAAAGUCGGAAACACACAGUGGAAGAAAGUCCUGAUCGUCCUCAACGGAGCGUUUCCAAAUGUGGAGGAGAUUCCUGAAAACAUCGUUCAUAAUCACGAGAAAAACGGACUCCCGCGACUGUCGUCGUACCGCCCCCCGGAGAUCACACACAGGCUGGACUCGUACUUUAAGUUCCUGAUCGUUCGAGAUCCGUUUGAACGUCUCAUUUCCGCGUUUAAAGACAAAUUCGUUUUAAAUCCUCGUUUUGAGCCGUGGUACAAACUGGACAUCGCCCCCGCCAUCAUCCGCAAGUACCGCCGCUUCCACGGCGACCACGGCGCGGCGGAGGACGAGCGGGGGGCGGGGCUCCGCUUCGAGGACUUCGUGCGUUACCUUGGCGACGCGGAGGGACGCCACCGCCUGGACCGUCAGUUCGGCGCCCACAUCAUCCACUGGCUGAGCUACGUGGAGCUGUGCGCGCCCUGCGACAUCGACUACGACGUCAUCGGGCACCACGAGACGCUGGAGCGAGACGCCGCGCACAUCCUGCGGGCGGCGGGCAUCGACGGGCUGGUCACGUACCCGCACAUCCCCCCGGGCAUCACCAGGUACAACCGCACCAAAGUCCAGAGCUACUUCAGCGGCAUCGGCAAACGAGACGCCCGCAGACUCUUCGCCCGAUACCAGGGAGACUUCACCCUGUUCGGGUACGAGCGCCCGGGAUUCGUCCUCGACUGAACGCGACGCCACGCUGAGGACGCCACGCUGAGGACGCCACGCUGAGGACGCCACGCUGAGGACGCCACGCUGAGGACGCCACGCUGAGGACGCCACGCUGAGGACGCCACGCUAACUGUACGCACUGCUCUGUCUGAAAGCACUUCCUUCAGGUCAGACUGUGUUCAAAUCAAACUCAGAUUCAAGUCUGACUCCAGUCACAGAGACUGAGACGGAGCAGUGCCUCCUGUUAGCGUCACACACACACACACACACACACACACACACACACACACACACACACACACACACACACACACUGGUGACAUCAGCUGUAAACUUCAGACUGUUCAGGUUUAAACUCGACUAAAGGAUCAACACUGUUUAUGUCCAGUCUGGUCCAGUCAGGUCCAGUCGGGUCCAGUCGGGUCCAGUCGGUCCAGUCUGGUCCAGUCGGGUCCAGUUUAGAACAAGUGAAGAACUAAACUCUUCUUUAAAGGAGUGGUGUGUGUUCUGCCCCCUACAGGUCACACAGACAAACAACAGAGUCAUGUGACGCUCUUCCUGUGCUCUGAUUGGAUAAAAAAACAAAACACCUAAAUUAAAAAGAACAGAAAUAAACAGAACGUCGUGUUUUUGUGAAGAAUAAAUAAAUGAUCUUUAGAACAUUUCCACACGGCUCCUUUAAAAACCACGAGAGAAACUGGGGAAAAAAUCUCAUAAAAAGUCAAAGUAUUAAAUUUUCUACAAUGUUACACAAAACUACUGUUACAGGACUAAACCAGAACUAAACCAGGACUAAACCAGGACUACACCAGGACUACACCAGGACUACACCAGGACUACACCAGAGACUAGACCGAGACUAAACCAGGACUAAAGUUGGUUCAUUCAGGACUUUGCACAUCAUCAUAUUUUAGUUUUGCACAUUUUUCUUGACACUACGACAGAAAAACUCAACACUUAUUUUACAUUUUUCAUGUCGACACUGAUUCUCGGAGGAUAAAUCUCGGUCACAGACUCGACCCUGAGGUCCUGAGGUCCUGAGGUCCUGAGGUCCUGAGGUCCUGAGGUCCCGCUCAGACUCCAGACUCCAGACUCCAGUCCUGAGGAGAGUCCGGUCGGGUUUAGAGUUUUAAAAAGUGCUUUAUUUACAUUUAGUUUGUGCUAAAACGAAACUGAAGGAAAAAGAAGAAUUUUUGUUUUUAUGAUUUACAAAAUUAACUCAAUAAUUUAACAAAGAAAAGGAACGAUUCAGAGAAGCAGAACAGAUCUAAACCAGGACUAAACCAGGACUAAACCAGGUCUAAACCAGGUCUAAAUCAGGUCUAAACCAGGACUAAACCAGGUCUAAACCAGGUCUAAACCAGGUCUAAACCAGGACUAAACCAUGUCUAAACCAGGACUAAACCAGGUCUAAACCAGGUCUAAAUCAGGUCUAAACCAGGACUAAACCAUGUCUAAACCAGGUCUAAACCAGGUCUAAACCAGGACUAAACCAGGACUAAACCAGGACUA